rnacentral:rRNA from 1 species
AACGAACGCUGGCGGCGUGGAUUAGGCAUGCAAGUCGAACGAGAAAGGUCCCUUCGGGGGCUGAGUAAAGUGGCAAACGGGUGAGUAACGCGUGGGAAACCUGCCCUUCAGUUGGGGAUAACACCUCUAACGGGGUGCUAAUACCGAAUUCGUUCCCCGGGUCACAUGGCCUGGGGAGGAAAGUGGCCUCUGCUUGCAUGCUGCCGCUGAAGGAUGGUCCCGCGUCCCAUUAGCUAGUUGGUAGGGUAACGGCCUACCAAGGCGACGAUGGGUAGCCGGCCUUAGCGGGUGACCGGCCACACUGGGGAUUGAGAAACGGCCCAGACUCCUACGGGUGGCAG